rnacentral:rRNA from 1 species
AUUGAACGCUGGCGGCAUGCUUUACACAUGCAAGUCGAACGGCAGCACGGGAGCUUGCUCCUGGUGGCGAGUGGCGAACGGGUGAGUAAUGCAUCGGAACGUACCCAGUAGUGGGGGAUAGCCCGGCGAAAGCCGGAUUAAUACCGCAUAUUUCCUGAGGGAGAAAGCGGGGGACCUUCGGGCCUCGCGCUACUGGAGCGGCUGAUGUCGGAUUAGCUAGUUGGUGAGGUAAAGGCUCACCAAGGCGACGAUCCGUAGCUGGUCUGAGAGGAUGAUCAGCCACACUGGGACUGAGACACGGCCCAGACUCCUACGGGAGGCAGCAGUGGGGAAUUUUGGACAAUGGGGGCAACCCUGAUCCAGCCAU